UGGAGGGCAAGUCUGGUGCCAGCAGCCGCGGUAAUUCCAGCUCCAAUAGCGUAUAUUAAAGUUGUUGCAGUUAAAAAGCUCGUAGUUGAAUUUCGGGGUCAGUAGGCUGGUCAUGCCACUGGUAUGUACUGGUUUCACUGAUUCCUCCUUCCUGAUGAACCGUAAUGCCAUUAAUUUGGUGUUGCGGGGAAUCUGGACUGUUACUUUGAAAAAAUUAGAGUGUUUAAAGCAGGCUAACGCUUGAAUACAUUAGCAUGGAAUAAUGAAAUAGGACGAUCGAUCCUAUUUUGUUGGUUUCUAGGAUUGACGUAAUGAUUAAUAGGGAUAGUUGGGGGCAUUAGUAUUCAAUUGUCAGAGGUGAAAUUCUUGGAUUUAUUGAAGACUAACUACUGCGAAAGCAUUUGCCAAGGAUGUUUUCAUUAAUCAAGAACGAAAGUUAGGGGAUCGAAGACGAUCAGAUACCGUCGUAGUCUUAACCAUAAACUAUGCCGACUAGGGAUCGGAUGAUGUUAAUUUUUUAAUGACUCAUUCGGCGCCUUACGGGAAACCAAAGUGUUUGGGUUC
rnacentral:rRNA from 1 species